GAAUAGGAAAAAAGGAAUUGCAGAGACUUUUACUUCCAUACCAGAUAAUAGGUGUCUUCCCUUGGCCCAGAUAAAAGAGAACUAGCCUAAAGAUCUGAUUAUGCGGAUGACACCACAACUGCAACGCAAUGACUGGAUGUAAGCGAGUACUGUGAUGCCUUUACACUAAGCAUAGUGAUUGCUUUAAAGCAUGGACAUACAACCCAAGCCAGUUUCAUCAGGACCCUUCCCUUAGAAUUGCUCUAUGGACACUGGUGGAGAAUCAAUCUAUUCCUUUUAUCUCACAAGCUGUGAAGAUGAAAUCUGAGAAGAGCUGGUAGAUGUAUUUCCUAACUCAAGGAGAAAGCCUAUCUAUAUAUCCAUAAGAUAGGUGAGGCCAACCAGAAGAAGCCAUGAUAUGCUGGACUGAAAGAUGGUGAGAUUAUGAUGGAGCCAAAAACAAACACAGAGAUGGUGUUAGAGAAAUGAGAUAGAGUUAUAAUGAGAUUGUUUUGAUUAUGAAUCCAGCCCUGCCUAACAGCAAAUUUAUACUGAAUUAUGUAUCAGUAAAG